rnacentral:rRNA from 1 species
AGGAUCAACGCUGGCGGCGUGCCUAACACAUGCAAGUCGCACGAGAAAGGGACUUCGGUCCUGAGUACAGUGGCGCACGGGUGAGUAACACGUGAAUAAUCUACCUUCGAGUGGGGAAUAACUGAGAGAAAUCUUAGCUAAUACCGCAUAAUACCUACGGGUCAAAGCAGCAAUGCGCUUGAAGAGGAGUUCGCGGCAGAUUAGUUAGUUGGCGGGUAAUGGCCCACCAAGACGAUGAUCUGUA